rnacentral:rRNA from 1 species
CCCUUAGAUGUCCUGGGCCGCACGCGCGCUACACUGAUGUGUCCAGUAAGCACCUAACCUAUUCCGAGAGGAGCGGGUAACCUUAGCAAAGCACAUCGUGAUGGGGAUAGAUUAUUGCAAUUAUUAGUCUUGAACGAGGAAUUCCUAGUAAGCACAAGUCAUCAGCUUGUGUUGAUUACGUCCCUGCCCUUUGUACACACCGCCCGUCGCUCCUACCGAUUGAAUGUUCCGGUGAGCUCUUCGGACUGCGCGGUCUGCAGUUUCUGCGUUCCGUGCGGAAAGUUGUGCAAACCUUAACAUUUAGAGGAAGGAGAAGUCGUAACA